UACAGAGGUCCCGAGCGUUGUUCGGAUUCAUUGGGCGUAAAGGGCGCGUAGGCGGCUUUGCAAGUGACGGGUGAAAUCCCUCGGCUUAACCGAGGAACUGCCUGUCAAACUGCAUGGCUUGAGACCGGGAGAGGUGAGUGGAAUUCCCAGUGUAGCGGUGAAAUGCGUAGAUAUUGGGAGGAACACCAGUGGCGAAGGCGGCUCACUGGACCGGUACUGACGCUGAUGCGCGAAAGCGUGGGGAGCAAACAGG
rnacentral:rRNA from 1 species